rnacentral:rRNA from 1 species
UACGGGAGGCAGCAGUGGGGAAUAUUGCACAAUGGGCGCAAGCCUGAUGCAGCCAUGCCGCGUGUAUGAAGAAGGCCUUCGGGUUGUAAAGUACUUUCAGUCGUGAGGAAGGUGUUAAGGUUAAUAACCUUAGCAAUUGACGUUAGCGACAGAAGAAGCACCGGCUAACUCCGUGCCAGCAGCCGCGGUAAUACGGAGGGUGCGAGCGUUAAUCGGAAUUACUGGGCGUAAAGGGCACGCAGGCGGUUAAUUAAGUCGGAUGUGAAAUCCCCGGGCUUAACCUGGGAAUGGCAUUCAAGACUGGUUAGCUAGAGUCUUAUAGAGGGGGUAGAAUUCCAUGUGUAGCGGUGAAAUGCGUAGAGAUGUGGAGGAAUACCGGUGGCGAAGGCGGCCCCUGGACAAAGACUGACGCUCAUGUGCGAAAGCGUGGGGAGCAAACAGGGAUUAGAUACC